rnacentral:rRNA from 1 species
AAAUUGAAGAGUUUGAUCAUGGCUCAGAUUGAACGCUGGCGGCAGGCCUAACACAUGCAAGUCGAACGGUAACAGGAAUCAGCUUGCUGAUUUGCUGACGAGUGGCGGACGGGUGAGUAAUGUCUGGGAAACUGCCUGAUGGAGGGGGGAUAACUACUGGAAACGGUAGCUAAUACCGCAUAAUGUCGCAAGACCAAAGAGGGGGGACCUUCGGGCCUCUUGCCAUCGGAUGUGCCCAGAUGGGAUUAGCUAGUAGGUGGGGUAACGGCUCACCUAGGCGACGAUCCCUAGCUGGUCUGAGAGGAUGACCAGCCACACUGGAACUGAGACACGGUCCAGACUCCUACGGGAGGCAGCAGUGGGGAAUAUUGCACAAUGGGCGCAAGCCUGAUGCAGCCAUGCCGCGUGUAUGAAGAAGGCCUUCGGGUUGUAAAGUACUUUCAGCGGGGAGGAAGGGAGUAAAGUUAAUACCUUUACUCAUUGACGUUACCCGCAGAAGAAGCACCGGCUAACUCCGUGCCAGCAGCCGCGGUAAUACGGAGGGUGCAAGCGUUAAUCGGAAUUACUGGGCGUAAAGCGCACGCAGGCGGUUUGUUAAGUCAGAUGUGAAAUCCCCGGGCUCAACCUGGGAACUGCAUCUGAUACUGGCAAGCUUGAGUCUCGUAGAGGGGGGGUAGAAUUCCGGGUGUAGCGGUGAAAUGCGUAGAGAUCUGGAGGAAUACCGGUGGCGAAGGCGGCCCCCUCGGACGAAGACUGACGCUCAGGUGCGAAAGCGUGGGGAGCAAACAGGAUUAGAUACUCCCGGUAGUCCACGCCGUAAACGAUGUCGACUUGGAGGUUGUGCCCUUGAGGCGUGGCUUCCGGAGCUAACGCGUUAAGUCGACCGCCCUGGGGAGUACGGCCGCAAGGUUAAAACUCAAAUGAAUUGACGGGGGGCCCGCACAAGCGGUGGAGCAUGUGGUUUAAUUCGAUGCAACGCGAAGAACCUUACCCUGGUCUUGACAUCCACAGAACCUUGUAGAGAUACGAGGGUGCCUUCGGGAACUGUGAGACAGGUGCUGCAUGGCUGUCGUCAGCUCGUGUUGUGAAAUGUUGGGUUAAGUCCCGCAACGAGCGCAACCCUUAUCCUUUGUUGCCAGCGGUCCGGCCGGGAACUCAAAGGAGACUGCCAGUGAUAAACUGGAGGAAGGUGGGGGAUGACGUCAAGUCAUCAUGGCCCUUACGACCAGGGGCUACACACGUGCUACAAUGGCGCAUACAAAGAGAAGCGACCUCGCGAGAGCAAGCGGACCUCAUAAAGUGCGUCGUAGUCCGGAUUGGAGUCUGCAACUCGACUCCAUGAAGUCGGAAUCGCUAGUAAUCGUGGAUCAGAAUGCCACGGUGAAUACGUUCCCGGGCCUUGUACACACCGCCCGUCACACCAUGGGAGUGGGUUGCAAAAGAAGUAGGUAGCUUAACCUUCGGGAGGGCGCUUACCACUUUGUGAUUCAUGACUGGGGUGAAGUCGUAACAAGGUAACCGUAGGGGAACCUGCGGUUGGAUCACCUCCUUACCUUAAAGAAGC